ACUAAAUAGAUACCCGGGUAGUCCACGCCCUAAACGAUGUCUACUAGUUGUUGGUGGAGUAAAAUCCAUGAGUAAACGCAGCUAAACGCGUGAAGUAGACCGCCUGGGGAGUACGGUCGCAAGAUUAAAACUCAAAGGAAUUGACGGGGCCCGCACAAGCGGUGGAUUAUGUGGAUUAAUUCGAUGCAACGCGAAAAACCUUACCUGGCCUUGACAUGCCACUAACGAAGCAGAGAUGCAUUAGGUGCCCGUAAGGGAAAGUGGACACAGGUGCUGCAUGGCUGUCGUCAGCUCGUGUCGUGAGAUGUUGGGUUAAGUCCCGCAACGAGCGCAACCCUUGCCAUUAAUUGCCAUCAUUUAGUUGGGCACUUUAAUGGGACUGCCGGUGACAAACCGGAGGAAGGUGGGGAUGACGUCAAGUCCUCAUGGCCCUUAUGGCCAGGGCUUCACACGUAAUACAAUGGUCGGUACAGAGAGUUGCCAACCCGCGAGGGGUAGCUAAUCUCAGAAAGCCGAUCGUAGUCCGGAUUGUUCU
rnacentral:rRNA from 1 species